CAGGCCGUGGGCUUGGCACCGUUGCUGAUACGUCCUGAAAAAGGACUCCCAGAUAACUGCCGUCUACUUCAGCAGCGACAUAAAGGUCUGCAGAUCCCCAGGAUCAACAUCCAGGUAGCUCCUGGCAAUAAACACGUACCUGGCUGCCUUCCCCAGAACUAUUGCUUCCUGCACUGGCAGGGUGCUGCCAGGCCGUCUCCCCCACCAGCACGUCCCCCUGCUACCCACCAACUUCCCCGAAUCCAUCGUCUCUUUGAGCCGC